UCCCCACCACCCACUCGGCUGUCUCCCCCAUUGUUUGCCGACUCUGCCCACGACGGUGGCUGUAUAUUUGUACCCACCCCUGGCCGACCGACACCACCUGUAGUUCAAGCUGAGCCCACCCAGGACCCUUCACUUCCUAACCCUGACGAACCGGCUGCACAGAUCGAACAGAUACAGGGUGAGAAUAUAAUGCCGGUACAUGGGUUGCGAAGAUCACUCCGCACUGACAUACAUCCCCCUGGUUGUGGGACCGGCGACGGUAAGACGAGACCGGCGAAGGCAAUUGUGAGGAAACGAAAAGAUCGUUGAGCCGUUGAUGAUGUGGAGCUUAUGGGGUAGUUGGACGACGUGUUAUUGUUCAUGUAACAGCUAGCGGAUAAAACUUUGACAACAUUUUUUGGACAUAAAAGACUGACAGAUUUUUGGAGAGCAUACAUGACAGCAGA